AGCGCACCUGAGCACUCCCGCUGAAAUCUCGAAAGGUUCCCCUCUCCGCUCAAGUCCACUUCCCCCCCAAUCCACCUAGCCGCCUGCUCCUCCGCGCUGUGCUAGAGCUUCCUUGUUGCUCACAAGAAGCUCCGCCGCUGCCAGAGCACCGCCGGACAUCAUCACCACCCAAGCCUUAGUGCUUAAGACCUUCCUCCCAGUUCUGCUCCUUCCCGACCCCAAAGCUUCACCUAUAAACCGAAGGUAAACUACUGAC
rnacentral:lncRNA from 1 species